rnacentral:rRNA from 1 species
CCCUUAGAUGUUCUGGGCUGCACGCGCGCUACACUGAAGCGUUCAACGAGUAUUCACCUUGCCCGGGAGGGUUGGGUAAUCUUUUGAAAACGCUUCGUGAUGGGGAUAGAUUAUUGCAAUUAUUAAUCUUCAACGAGGAAUUCCUAGUAAGCGCGAGUCAUCAGCUCGUGCUGAUUACGUCCCUGCCCUUUGUACACACCGCCCGUCGCUCCUACCGAUUGAAUGGUCCGGUGAAGCGCUCGGACCGCGGCCUCUUGACGGGUCUCCGUCGAUUGGCUGUGGGAAGUUCGUUAAACCUUAUCAUUUAGAGGAAGGAGAAGUCGUAACA